CCAGGUGCUACAGUCCUGUCAGACUGUCUGCAGAACCUAGCCAAAGCCAGCGGGGAGGCUCCUUGGGCAUCCUCUGCUGUGCAUCGGUCUUCCCAGCCCUUCCGCAUCACUGGCCCACCUCCCAGAGCACCUCAAAGUCACAGCAUGACCUACGGCGGGGUGCCAGUCAGAACCCAAGGAGAAUUCCAAUACCGACAGGACUGGCCCUGCAGGAUUAGAGGAGACUCUCCCAAGGAGCAAUCAGUAUCUGAUAAAUGGAGAGGUGGAGGGCAGCGGGAACUCCAGGCGUGGAGGAGAGUGUGAACCAGGGGGGAGGGGCCAAAACGAUGCUGGGAGAGCUAUGUAGGACUGGAAGGCACUGCCUGCCGAGUUGGAACGGUGGGCAGGACAGCGGAUCCUGUGCACACAGCAGCUUCUUCUUACCCAACAGGGACACCUUUAGCCUUAGAAUAGCAGAGGAGCAGCCCAGAGCCUGCACUGCUCAGUGGGUUGUUGGGUUUUUUUUUUUUUUUUAAACUACCCUCUUUAAAAAAACAAAAAACAA
rnacentral:lncRNA from 1 species